rnacentral:rRNA from 1 species
UACGUAGGGGGCAAGCGUUGUCCGGAUUUAUUGGGCGUAAAGCGCUCGCAGGUGGUUCGAUGCGUCGUGCGUGAAAGACCCCGGCUCAACUGGGGAGUGUCGUGCGAUACGGGCAGGCUAGAGUUCGGUAGGGGAGACUGGAAUUCCUGGUGUAGCGGUGAAAUGCGCAGAUAUCAGGAGGAACACCGGUGGCGAAGGCGGGUCUCUGGGCCGAUACUGACGCUGAGGAGCGAAAGCGUGGGGAGCGAACAGG